UACAAUACAAAUAUUAUAUUCUUAUUUGGUUUAAUCAACACAAGCAGGACUGGAGACGCAAAAAUAUACGGAAGAUACAUGCACCAUAUUAAACUGAACCCCAAUGUUGUUAAAAUAGUGCUUCCAAAACUAUACCAAUAACUUUACUUUUCCCAGGUUUAGCUGAAAUCCGUCAUUGACAUAAUCUCUGACUCUAACUCACUUGAUUAAUGUGUAAGGCAAGAAAAAAAGGGACAAACAUGAUUAGUAAGCAAACAGUGUGUUUAAUAAAAUGCAGGGUUUUGCACAGAACAUCAAGUGGCAAAACAAGAGUGAAACAUCCACAAAAAGGUUCUAAAUGCAAAAACAUCAAAUUAAAUGCAAUUCCUUAAACAAAUAGUGUUCAAGUUUCAUUGUUGAUUUAUUAUUUCAAAAUAAUUUAAUUUGACAUGUUACGUAGAAAUAAAUGAAAUCUGCUGUAAAGCUUUAUAUGUUUUGUUAACAUGAAUCCACAUCAAAUUGUUUAAAAAUGUAUUCAGAUACUAAAAUGUUUGAAAAUAACCUGAACAAAUCGUCCAAAUUUGCUUUUAUUGAUCAGAUUAAUUGUGUUUCUUCCACAGGAGGAGGAGUCAAUGCAAAUACUGAACGCUCCACUUUCACAUGUCUGUUAGUUUAAGAGCAGCAGUGAAUUAGUGRUGAACACAGAAUGAACAGAGACAGAUGGCUUCUACAAUGAUUAGAUUUCAGGUUUUCCUUGCCUUUAUUAUCUUUUCCUUAAAAUGGAGCGGAACUGAUGGUCAAACACUGACUGAGUCUGAAUCAGUGGUUAAAAGGCCUGGAGAAUCUCACAGACUGACCUGCACAUAUUCUGGGUUUAGUAGCACUCCUGACAUAGCUUGGAUCAGACAGGCAGCUGGAAAAGGACUGGAAUGGAUCGCUUUUAUCUGGGAUGACAGCAGUGGCAUGUACUACCCUGACUCACUGAAAACCCGAUUCACCAUCUCCAGAGACAACAGCAGAAGUCAAGUGUAUCUGCAGAUGAACAGCCUGACAGCUGGAGAUUCUGCUGUUUAUUACUGCGCUCGAGAGACACAGUGA